rnacentral:rRNA from 1 species
UACGUAGGUGGCAAGCGUUGUCCGGAUUUACUGGGUGUAAAGGGAGCGUAGACGGCAUUGCAAGUCUGAAGUGAAAGCCCGGGGCUCAACCCCGGGACUGCUUUGGAAACUGUAGAGCUAGAGUGCUGGAGAGGUAAGCGGAAUUCCUAGUGUAGCGGUGAAAUGCGUAGAUAUUAGGAAGAACACCAGUGGCGAAGGCGGCUUACUGGACAGUAACUGACGUUGAGGCUCGAAAGCGUGGGGAGCAA